ensembl:snoRNA SNORA74 Small nucleolar RNA SNORA74
CCCAGUGGUAAGUCAGCUGUCCAGUGCUGGGUGGUGCCUGAGUCAGUGUUACACUGCUGGGAGAUGAAGGUGCUACUCUGUUAGUCUGGCCGUUGCUGUCACUGUUCUGGUGAUGGCUCAGGUCAGGCCGGGUUAGUGCCGUGUAUCUUUUGAGAGUGGACCACCAACAAUUCAAUGGUGGUUCCUAGUUUCGAUGCAUACAUA